CUGUGUUGCUUACCAACGAAACGGAAGAGUUCCAUCGCGUUCGAGUGUGCUUCCGCUCGGCUCCCUCCGGGUGGUCGAGCGGACGACAAGCUGGCCUCGCGAUCCAGGCACGCCUCGCAUCGAUGCGCGGCUGCCGUGGCCCGUGGGGUUACGCUGGUUCUCUCGGAUACGGAUCGUAACGUGCGGGCGAGGGGCAACGUGUCCUCCAUUCGUCCGAGUCACGCAUCCGUCGAUCUCGACAGGAACGACCGCCGCGCCCGUCUUGGCUCCGGAGUCUCCCACGGCUCCGCGAGAUCCCAUGCGGGCGUCGGCGUCGUGAAGGAAACGCUACCUGGUUGAUCCUGCCAGUAGUCAUAUG
rnacentral:misc_RNA from 1 species